AUUGAACGCUGGCGGCAGGCUUAACACAUGCAAGUCGAGCGGGGGAAGGUAGCUUGCUACCGGACCUAGCGGCGGACGGGUGAGUAAUGCUUAGGAAUCCGCCUAUUAGUGGGGGACAACAUCUCGAAAGGGAUGCUAAUACCGCAUACGUCCUACGGGAGAAAGCAGGGGAUCUUCGGACCUUGCGCUAAUAGAUGAGCCUAAGUCGGAUUAGCUAGUUGGGGGGGUAAAGGCCUACCAAGGCGACGAUCUGUAGCGGGUCUGAGAGGAUGAUCCGCCACACUGGGACUGAGACACGGCCCAGACUCCUACGGGAGGCAGCAGUGGGGAAUAUUGGACAAUGGGGGGAACCCUGAUCCAGCCAUGCCGCGUGUGUGAAGAAGGCCUUAUGGUUGUAAAGCACUUUAAGCGAGGAGGAGGCUACUUUAGUUAAUACCUAGAGAUAGUGGACGUUACUCGCAGAAUAAGCACCGGCUAACUCUGUGCCAGCCGCCGCAGUAA
rnacentral:rRNA from 1 species